AAGCAAAUCAAUUGUAAUCAGUUUCGACCUGAUAGUAAGAUAUUUAUUUAUCCUUACUUGAUUUAGUU
rnacentral:tRNA from 1 species